rnacentral:tRNA from 1 species
AGAAAGAUAUGCUAAAAUUAAAGCAAGUAGAUUCAUAAUCUUCUAAUGAAUGAGAAUUCUCUUUCUA